UACGGGGGGGGCAAGCGUUGUUCGGAAUUACUGGGCGUAAAGGGCUCGUAGGCGGCCAACUAAGUCAGACGUGAAAUCCCUCGGCUUAACCGGGGAACUGCGUCUGAUACUGGAUGGCUUGAGUUCGGGAGAGGGAUGCGGAAUUCCAGGUGUAGCGGUGAAAUGCGUAGAUAUCUGGAGGAACACCGGUGGCGAAGGCGGCAUCCUGGACCGAUACUGACGCUGAGGAGCGAAAGCGUGGGGAGCAAACAGG
rnacentral:rRNA from 1 species